rnacentral:tRNA from 1 species
GCCUCCAUGGUCAAGCGGUCAAGACAUCGCCCUCUCACGGCGGUAACAAGGGUUCGAUUCCCUUUGGGGGUACCA